rnacentral:rRNA from 1 species
GUGGUGGCGCGUGACGUCGCUCCCGCCCUCGCCGCCGCAGCGCCUGCCGUCACUCCUCCUCUACGGUCCUUCUCUUCGUCGUCGUCGUCGUCUCGCCACUACCGCCGCUCUUCUUCUUCUUCGUUCUCUUCCUCUUCUCCUGCAAGGACUCGGACCUCCUCCGGCCCGACCACCUCUACAGGCCCGAGUCGUGGGUGCUCGCGAAGGAGACGGCCGAGUGGUAGAGCAGCGACUUGGACGACGCCCACUAGAGCCUCGUCCUCCCCCACCGCUACCUCCUCGAGUUGCGGCCCGCCCACACGCUGACCAAGGAGUUCCUGUUCGAGUUCGCCCUCGUCUUGGAGCUGUGGCGGCAGGACGUCACCCUGCUGGGCGGCGGGUAGACUGGGGCGGCGGAAACCCACAGACGACGGGAAAAGAAAGGACAGUCAAGGCAGCAGCUGUCUAUAGAGGGAGAGGGUGUCGUCUUUUAUGAUCCUCAUCAUGCUUGCUUCCUGGCUAGCUCCUACGUACCUGCGACCCGUCUGGUCCCCUCCUCUCCUGUCUAGCAAGUCUCAACUCUGUUGAUAUGUACUAUCUACUACGAAGUAACGGAAGGUAUAUGAUGAAACAACGAUUUUGCCUACAUAGCUCGUGACUUUAUGCAGGCAGAUUUGUCCCUGAUUAACAACAGGGCACAAUGGGUACUUGGGAUCUUGCAAAAAAAUAGCUAGGUCGUCGUAUCAAAAAGAGAACUUUUCCUAAGGCAA